ensembl:lncRNA
GGAGAAGGAAAGAGUAGACAGUUAUCAAAGGCAGUUUAGUUCCCGUUCCUUUUCCUCAACCUCCUCCCCCUUUUGAAAUAAAUUGCAUUCAGUGAGUGCUGUCCUUUUAAAGAAACAGCUACUUCCUAACAACUGAAAUUUGCUGCUUGACUACAAAGUUAGCAGGAUGUGUAAAUGUAGAUAAGAAAGAAGGAAAAAGGAAACGGCAUUCUAGAGGAACUGAUGUUUAGAGGGAGGAAAAUGAAGUAUAUACCAUUAGGACUUUAUAAAAGAGCUUAAGAAAAUUGAAUGAACAAUAAAGUUGUCUGAUGAUGAUGAUGGUGACAAGACAUUUCUAGCAACACAUCUGUGAUCCUCUUAUGCCUCAGAUGGCAAGUAAUCCAAUAUAUGUGAAACAUGUGCAAUUCUUCUGUACAUAUUUUUACAACUAUUAUGCUGCACAAGAAAAAUCAUAUCAAAAAGGAAAAAAUGAGAAAGAAAACAAAAUGCAAGCAAACUACAACAAAAAAGUAAAAUCACCUGAAUCACCUUGCUGUUGAAAAGAGCCACAUCCAUCAGAAUUGAUCAUUGUAUAAUCUUGCUGCUGUUGUGUACAAUGUUCCCCAGAUUCUUCAUUCAGCAUCAGUUCAUGUUUCCCUGUUCAUAGAAUUCAGGUUGGAGAUUGGGUUUUGAUCCAAUCCUGGAAGGAUGAGAAGUUGACUCCAUGCUGGACGGACCCUACCAGUGUUUGCCAAUUUCUGCGUUCUCAAUGCUCACACUGAAAACUGAACAAUUUACUGGAUAAGAGCUGACUCCAACAUAGCCCUAGGCUCAUGCUUCAGGAAGGAAAAUAACUCUCUAGUGUUAUCAGGAGACUGAUGAUGAAUAAUAUUGCCCACAUCUUGACAGAGACAGGAUGGAUGGAUCAGAAUGAGAUGAAGGAAAAACUUGAGCGUCUGUGGCAGAAACGAACCGGCAUGAGAAGAUCCAGUCUUUCGAUAUAGUUUUGUUUUCGCUAUCUGGUGCUGCCCUCUGCUGAUUGUAAUAGAGGACAAAGUGAAAAGAUUUCACUCUGCCAUUUGAAUUCUACGGAGACGUUAAGGUGAUCUUGUUUGUCUUUCCUUCUUGAUAACGUCAGGACGGUGAUGUCUUGACUCACAGAUGACCUGGAUUUAAGUGUGACAAAAUCGUCAGUCUCGUUCUCCCCUCCAGAACCAUCAGUCCAGCGUCCCUGGCCCCUGAUGCAAUGGGCGCCUUUGGGUUUUUUCCUAAGACAAAGUUCCGGUAAAUACAAGGAACAGGGAAAUUGUGGUUUGCUGCCUUUUACCUGCAUUCAUUCUGGAGCUCAAAUUGCACAGCCCCCACCAAGCCCACCAAACCAACCACUAUUUUCUUCUCUUUGUCGAAGUUCCGAAUCCUUCCCACCUUUGCGCCCAGGUUAGAUGCUCCACUUCUUUUCCCUCUCAGAUCCACCAUUUGUGCUACUGAGCUUCUGCAUAAACUCAAUGACCUCAGGAAACCUUAUUUUUCUUAGCAGAAUGGUUUUCUGCCAGCAGCAGUGUGAGCGGACCCCUCAGAAAUCUGGAAUUGUGACCAGCCCAUGUUAGAAUUUGUCAACGUUUCCUUAGAUGGCCAUAAGCAUGGAGUUUUCUUCCUUUCUAAAAGUAAAACUGCAGAUUCUACAAGCUCACCCAGUGGUGCAAAGUGA